AUUGAACGCUGGCGGCAGGCCUAAUACAUGCAAGUCGAACGAGCGGCGGACGGGUGAGUAAUGUCUGGGAAUCUGCCUGAUGGAGGGGGAUGACUGCUGGAAACUGUAGCUAAUACCGCAUACCCUCAGAUGCGCCCAUACGGGAUUAGCUAGUAGGUGAGUUAACGGCUCACCUAGGCGACGAUGCCUAGCUGGUCUGAGAGGAUGAUCAGCCAAACGGGGACUGAGACACGGCCCAGACUCCUACGGGAGGCAGCAGUGGGGAAUAUGGCACAAUGGGCGAAAGCCUGACGAAGCAACGCCGCGUGUAUGAAGAAGGUCUUCGGGUUGUAAAGUGCUUUAAUUCGAGAGGCGUUACCGACAGAGGAAGCCCCGGCUAACUCCGUGCCAGCAGCCGCGGUAAUAC
rnacentral:rRNA from 1 species